rnacentral:rRNA from 1 species
UACGAGAGGCCCAAACGUUAUUCGGAAUUACUGGGCUUAAAGAGUUCGUAGGCGGCGCAGAAAGUAGGGUGUGAAAGCCCUCGGCUCAACCGAGGAAUUGCGCUCUAAACUACUGUGCUUGAGGAAGCUAGAGGUGAGCGGAACUGAUGGUGGAGCGGUGAAAUGCGUUGAUAUCAUCAGGAACACCGGAGGCGAAGGCGGCUCACUGGGGCUUUUCUGACGCUGAGGUACGAAAGCUAGGGUAGCAAACGGG